GAUGAACGCUGGCGGCGUGCCUAAUACAUGCAAGUCGAGCGAACAGACGAGGAGCUUGCUCCUUUGACGUUAGCGGCGGACGGGUGAGUAACACGUGGAUAACCUACCUAUAAGACUGGGAUAACUUCGGGAAACCGGAGCUAAUACCGGAUAACAUGUUGAACCGCAUGGUUCAACAGUGAAAGACGGUCUUGCUGUCACUUAUAGAUGGAUCCGCGCCGCAUUAGCUAGUUGGUAAGGUAACGGCCUACCGAGGCAACGAUGCGUAGCCGACCUGAGAGGGUGAUCGGCCACACUGGAACUGAGACACGGUCCAGACUCCUACGGGAGGCAGCAGUAGGGAAUCUUCCGCAAUGGGCGAAAGCCUGACGGAGCAACGCCGCGUGAGUGAAGAAGGUCUUCGGAUCGUAAAACUCUGUUAUUAGGGAAGAACAAAUGUGUAAGUAACUAUGCACGUCUUGACGGUACCUAAUCAGAAAGCCACGGCUAACUACGUG
rnacentral:rRNA from 1 species